rnacentral:lncRNA from 1 species
UAAAAUUAUAGAUUUUGUGAUCCUUUGAUCGCUCAGUUAUGAUGCCAAAAAAUUAUGAAAUUUGAUUUCUAAAUAAUUUAAAUGGUUUAGAUUAUGUUCAAUGGUGCCGAUCGUCGAUUUGGAAGCUUUAUCAUAAAAAACAAAUCAGUAGUAAAUCAAACAAUUUACUACCAAUAGUAGCCCAGUCAAACUCUCUCUCUCUCUCUCUCUCUCUCUCUCUCUCUCUCUCU